UUGAGAGAAAGCCUGCUUAGAUAUGCGAUCAAACAAGAGCCAUGUUAGCUCUAAUAUUAAUGCAUAUGGGAAGGUCUGAGGCGCCUCUUAGUAGAGAUCAAAGGGAGGAGACUCUUGGAGAAACUAACAGAAAGCCACUCUUGCUUCGUUUGUCUAAGAUCUCUGAGCAGCCCAAAGCUGCGACUGAGGGAGACUAUAAGCGUUGUAGGAGUUGAGAAGUUUCACGGCGUUGAAUCUAAGUCCAAUAAGCAAGACCCAAACUUCAUAAGUGGCCCUUAAAAGCUAAAUGUGAACUUGGGCAACUCAAUUCAGACUACUCUUCUUUCAA
rfam:Oxytricha trifallax strain JRB310 Contig16266.0 macronuclear, whole genome shotgun sequence.